rnacentral:rRNA from 1 species
UAAACUAGGAUUAGAUACCCUAUUAUUUAAAAUGUAAUUUUAAUCACUAAGGUAGUAGUAGUUAUGUUCUUGAAACUUAAAAAAUUUGGCGGUAUUUUAGUCUAUUCAGAGGAACCUGUCCUGUAAUUGAUAAUCCACGAUGUACCUCACUUAAAUUUGUUUUUCAGUUUAUAUACCGUCGUUAUCAGAAUAUUUUAUUAGAAUAAUAAUUUUCUAUAAUUUUUAUAAGAAUUUAUAUCAGAUCAAGGUGUAGCUUAUGUUUAAGUAGAGAUGGGUUACAAUAAAUUUAUUUAAAUGGAUCUAAUUUUGAAAUGAUUAGUGAAGGUGGAUUUGAUAGUAAAAUUUUAAAGAUUGUUAAUUUGAUUUUAGCUCUAGAAUAUGCACACAUCGCCCGUCGCUCUUGCUAUUAAGGUAAGAUAAGUCGUAACAUAGUA